rnacentral:rRNA from 1 species
GAGUUUGAUCUUGGCUCAGAUUGAACGCUGGCGGCAUGCCUUACACAUGCAAGUCGAACGGCAGCACGGGAGCUUGCUCCUGGUGGCGAGUGGCGAACGGGUGAGUAAUGCAUCGGAACGUAUCCUGGAGUGGGGAUAACGUAGCGAAAGUUACGCUAAUACCGCAUAUUCUGUGAGCAGGAAAGCGGGGGACCUUCGGGCCUCGCGCUCUUGGAGCGGCCGAUGUCGGAUUAGCUAGUUGGUGAGGUAAAGGCUCACCAAGGCGACGAUCCGUAGCAGGUCUGAGAGGAUGAUCUGCCACACUGGAACUGAGACACGGUCCAGACUCCUACGGGAGGCAGCAGUGGGAAUUUUGGACAAUGGGGGCAACCCUGAUCCAGCCAUGCCGCGUGAGUGAAGAAGGCCUCGG